rnacentral:rRNA from 1 species
AUGUUAUGUCCGUCUUUAAAAUUCCUAAAAAAAAUUGCUAAGGAAUCAUUGACGCGAUGUCGCAAUUUUGAUGGGGUGACGAUGACAAUCAGAAGAGGAUGCAUUGGAUGGCGUGGUGGAAGAUGUGUGUCCCAAAAGACCAAGGAGGCAUGGGCUUCCGAGAUAUACAUUGUUUCAAUCUGGCUUUGCUAG